AGGCACUAGUUGAGAAAGAACUAGUGAAUGCAAGAAAAGCUGUGGACUUAUGUCUUGCUGAGGAGAAUAUAACCAAGCUGAAUUCAAUAUCAGUGCAUCUUGAAGAGAGUUUUGCAAUUGCUCGUGGGAUUGGGAAUUUGUACUCCAAGAGUGUUGAGGUGAUGAAACUUAUCGACAAUCUCAUGAAAGCUUCAGAAAUGGCUGUCACAGCUAUUAAGGAAUUUACCCAUGAAGUCACCGCGGAGGUAGAUGCUGUGAACUCGUCAGUGGAUGCUGCGGAAGACGGAGAAGAUAAAAUUGAAGAAAAAGCUGAGGAGGAAAAUUCUCCGAAGGUUCUGCAAAUGAUGAGGAGGAAGUGGGUCCUAAACUAUACCUGAUUCAACCAUGAUUGUCUGUCUUACCUGGAUUGGAACAAGUGACGUCUUGUAUACAUAUAUAUAUAUAUAUAUAUAUAUAUAUGAUGAGUGUUUGAGUUACGAGCUAUGCAAUAUUGUGUGGGGUGCAAUGAGUCAACUCGGUCGGUUGGCUGUUUGUUUCUGUUAUUGCCUUAAAUUAGACGUUGUGUGUUGUUGUUAAUGUUGUGUUUGCGGGGAUUGAGUCAUGGGUAUGAGUUG